rnacentral:rRNA from 1 species
GACGAACGCUGGCGGCGUGCUUAACACAUGCAAGUCGAACGGAAAGGCCCUGCUUGCAGGGUACUCGAGUGGCGAACGGGUGAGUAACACGUGGGUGAUCUGCCCUGCACUUCGGGAUAAGCCUGGGAAACUGGGUCUAAUACCGGAUAGGAGCCAUUUUUAGUGUGAUGGUUGGAAAGUUUUUUCGGUGUCGGAUGAGCUCGCGGCCUAUCAGCUUGUUGGUGGGGUAAUGGCCUACCAAGGCGGCGACGGGUAGCCGGCCUGAGAGGGUGGACGGCCACAUUGGGACUGAGAUACGGCCCAGACUCCUACGGGAGGCAGCAGUGGGGAAUAUUGCACAAUGGGCGCAAGCCUGAUGCAGCGACGCCGCGUGGGGGAUGACGGCCUUCGGGUUGGAAACUCCUUUCGCUAGGGACGAAGCUUUUUGUGACGGUACCUAGAUAAGAAGCACCGGCUAACUACGUG